AUACUUUUAUUUCAUAAAAUUCGGGAUCUCACAAUCUCCCCUCCUUAUGAAAUUUCGCCCUCGAAAUUUACGUACCUGAUAGUUCGAAGAGAUGAAAAUACAUUACUUUCUUUUCGGAUUGUACAUUCCUAGUUAUUUCCUCUCUAUCAUGCUUUUCCCAUUUCUCAUCUCCUGUAUUUCAGAUAUCAUUCUAGAAUAUAGUUUCAAAAUAAGGGUUAAUUGACAUGCCACAUAUUAUCCCUAUACUCUAACCGACCAGUUAAAUACCAAAUAAACUUAGG
rnacentral:lncRNA from 1 species